UUAAAUUGAAGAGUUUGAUCAUGGCUCAGAUUGAACGCUGGCGGCAGGCCUAACACAUGCAAGUCGAACGGUAACAGGAAGCAGCUUGCUGCUUUGCUGACGAGUGGCGGACGGGUGAGUAAUGUCUGGGAAACUGCCUGAUGGAGGGGGAUAACUACUGGAAACGGUGGCUAAUACCGCAUAACGUCGCAAGACCAAAGAGGGGGACCUUCGGGCCUCUUGCCAUCAGAUGUGCCCAGAUGGGAUUAGCUUGUUGGUGAGGUAACGGCUCACCAAGGCGACGAUCCCUAGCUGGUCUGAGAGGAUGACCAGCCACACUGGAACUGAGACACGGUCCAGACUCCUACGGGAGGCAGCAGUGGGGAAUAUUGCACAAUGGGCGCAAGCCUGAUGCAGCCAUGCCGCGUGUAUGAAGAAGGCCUUCGGGUUGUAAAGUACUUUCAGCGGGGAGGAAGGUGUUGUGGUUAAUAACCGCAGCAAUUGACGUUACCCGCAGAAGAAGCACCGGCUAACUCCGUGCCAGCAGCCGCGGUAAUACGGAGGGUGCAAGCGUUAAUCGGAAUUACUGGGCGUAAAGCGCACGCAGGCGGUCUGUCAAGUCGGAUGUGAAAUCCCCGGGCUCAACCUGGGAACUGCAUUCGAAACUGGCAGGCUUGAGUCUUGUAGAGGGGGGUAGAAUUCCAGGUGUAGCGGUGAAAUGCGUAGAGAUCUGGAGGAAUACCGGUGGCGAAGGCGGCCCCCUGGACAAAGACUGACGCUCAGGUGCGAAAGCGUGGGGAGCAAACAGGAUUAGAUACCCUGGUAGUCCACGCCGUAAACGAUGUCUACUUGGAGGUUGUGCCCUUGAGGCGUGGCUUCCGGAGCUAACGCGUUAAGUAGACCGCCUGGGGAGUACGGCCGCAAGGUUAAAACUCAAAUGAAUUGACGGGGGCCCGCACAAGCGGUGGAGCAUGUGGUUUAAUUCGAUGCAACGCGAAGAACCUUACCUGGUCUUGACAUCCACAGAACUUUCCAGAGAUGGAUUGGUGCCUUCGGGAACUGUGAGACAGGUGCUGCAUGGCUGUCGUCAGCUCGUGUUGUGAAAUGUUGGGUUAAGUCCCGCAACGAGCGCAACCCUUAUCCUUUGUUGCCAGCGAUUAGGCCGGGAACUCAAAGGAGACUGCCAGUGAUAAACUGGAGGAAGGUGGGGAUGACGUCAAGUCAUCAUGGCCCUUACGACCAGGGCUACACACGUGCUACAAUGGCGCAUACAAAGAGAAGCGACCUCGCGAGAGCAAGCGGACCUCAUAAAGUGCGUCGUAGUCCGGAUUGGAGUCUGCAACUCGACUCCAUGAAGUCGGAAUCGCUAGUAAUCGUGGAUCAGAAUGCCACGGUGAAUACGUUCCCGGGCCUUGUACACACCGCCCGUCACACCAUGGGAGUGGGUUGCAAAAGAAGUAGGUAGCUUAACCUUCGGGAGGGCGCUUACCACUUUGUGAUUCAUGACUGGGGUGAAGUCGUAACAAGGUAACCGUAGGGGAACCUGCGGUUGGAUCACCUCCUUACCUUAAAGAAGC
rnacentral:rRNA from 1 species